GACGAACGCUGGCGGCGUGCUUAACACAUGCAAGUCGAACGGAAAAGCCCUGCUUUUGUGGGGUGCUCGAGUGGCGAACGGGUGAGUAACACGUGAGUAACCUGCCCUUGACUUUGGGAUAACUUCAGGAAACUGGGGCUAAUACCGGAUAGGAGCUCCUGCUGCAUGGUGGGGGUUGGAAAGUUUCGGCGGUUGGGGAUGGACUCGCGGCUUAUCAGCUUGUUGGUGGGGUAGUGGCUUACCAAGGCUUUGACGGGUAGCCGGCCUGAGAGGGUGACCGGCCACAUUGGGACUGAGAUACGGCCCAGACUCCUACGGGAGGCAGCAGUGGGGAAUAUUGCACAAUGGGCGGAAGCCUGAUGCAGCAACGCCGCAUGCGGGAUGACGGCCUUCGGGUUGUAAACCGCUUUCGCCUGUGACGAAGCGUGAGUGACGGUAAUGGGUAAAGAAGCACCGGCUAACUACGUG
rnacentral:rRNA from 1 species